rnacentral:rRNA from 1 species
GACGAACGCUGGCGGCGUGCUUAACACAUGCAAGUCGAACGGAAAGGCCCUGCUUUUGUGGGGUGCUCGAGUGGCGAACGGGUGAGUAACACGUGAGUAACCUGCCCUUGACUUUGGGAUAACUUCAGGAAACUGGGGCUAAUACCGGAUAGGAGCUCCUGCUGCAUGGUGGGGUUUGGAUAGUUUCGGCGGUUGGGGAUGGACUCGCGGCUUAUCAGCUUGUUGGUGGGGUAGUGGCUUACCAAGGCUUUGACGGGUAGCCGGCCUGAGAGGGUGACCGGCCACAUUGGGACUGAGAGAGGGCACAGACUCCUAGGGGAGGCAGCAGUGGGGAAUAUUGCACAAUGGGAGGAAGGCUGAUGCAGCAACGCGGCGGGCGGGAUGACGGCCUUCGGGUUGUAAACCGCAUUAGCCUGUGACGAAGCGUGAGUGACGGUAAUGGGUAAAGAAGCACCGGCUAACUACGUG